GCCCUGGUGGCAUAAUGGUUAAGCACUCAGCUGCUAACUGAAUGGUUGCUGGUUGAACCUGCCCAGCGGU
rnacentral:tRNA from 1 species